CUGCCUCUCCCUUUGGUAGGUAUGGAACCCAGAACUCCUUGUCAGGACCCUACCUGACCUCCGUGAUGGGGAAAGAAGUUGGGGAACGUGAGUUCUGGCAGCUCCUCCAAGCCCCUGACACCCCACUGCUAGAAGGUAUUGCUGACUAUAUCCCCAAGGAUGGAGAAACCAUCGAGCUGAGGCUGGUUAGCUGGUAGCCCCUGGGCUCACCCACACCAGCAGCCUGGCCCAUUGCUGGGCCUCCGCCUUCCCUCCAGACAUCGCUGUAACAGGCACAUACAUGCCCAAUCCUGCUGCUACCUCAUGUGUCCUUGGAGGAGUGUCCCCUGGAUUACCCAGCUACUACCCUUGCAAAGGUUCUCAGCCACCAUCCACCCUGGAUCAGGGAACCACGCAUCUUCCCUGGGAGGGCUGUUGCUCGAGUCUGGCCCCGCCUGGCCACACAGGCAUUCCUUGAAGGCCACUCAUAGUCUGAAGGGUCCGAAGCAUCUCAGACUCCUCAACACAAGGAGGAGAAGUCACGGCCAUUGGUGUUGUGAGUACUGCCCCCUCUGGGAUUGGGGUCCUGCAAGGAGACCUGUGUGGCCCAGGGGCUGCAGUCCUGACCCCAGCUCUCUACUCCGGCCUUCAGGGCGGUGGCCCCGGUGCUGGCCUUGGCAGAGUGGCUGGUGGGGGCUCUGCCGAGCUGCUCAAAGCCUGCCUCUGAAAUGAUUAAAGUGUUGAUUGUGCACCUGC